UACAGUCGCGAGGAGUGGGCCUCGUGUAAUGCGCGAUAGUGAUAAAACGGUAUUCUGUUAUCUGCCCCGGUCGCUAUGACGGUACAAGCGGCCGAAGUGUAUCAAACAACCGAAUAGCAAUUGAUCAUAUAUAGUCAGUGCGCUCGUGUGCGUGACUGAAGGAUUCCCGCCACCAUGCCGCAUCUUCGACGAGUACACAGUUUUCGCGACCACCCCUUCGCAGGUGUCAACUGGCGACCGACUCGCUUUGUCGACGAGGUGCCCAGUUCACGUGUAUGUGGCCUUUGUCGCAUGAUUGCGACAAGGACUGUGCUGCUGCCAUGCUCGCACAUUCUAUGUCAAUCAUGCCACGCAGCCAGUCCCCAAGGCGGCAGCAGUCUGUGUCCCUUGGAUCAGGAGCCGUUCGAAGAAGCUCAGUGUUUUUGCUAUGUCUUCUCCACCAGAAAAGAUAAUGCCUUCAAGGUUCACUGCUGGAACGAAGCGCAUGGUUGCAAAUUUGAAGGAGCUGUAGAGUUCAUGCUGCGACACUACGAGAACGAAUGCACAUUCCACACCGUGGAGUGUUUUGCGAUGCGGCGAGCAAGUCCUGCACAGAGAACUGUCAACGCACUACGUAGCCGGAUGCGGUGCCCCUGUUUUCGGUAGCAGGCACAAACAACACGUCGUCGAAAUCUAGAGCAAUGACCCUUCAAGACAUGACGGCUGCUCUCCAAGAAUUGAAGACGCUGUUGAGGAACGACCACAAGCAGCUGCUGCUUGCGAUUCAGUGUUCAAUGAACGAAGUAAUUGGACAGAUCAGGAGCCAGGAAUACACGUUCGCCGUGUCCCCUCACAAUGUCGCAGCGCCUGUACAGGCGCUGCGACAUUCUCAAGUGGGAACACAGAGUCCCUCAACCUCGUUACCGAAGAGAACUUCUCGGCGGAAUAAGACUGAGGACGCCAGCACGUCGUCCGCAUCAUGCUCCAAGAAACCAGCGGUGCCUCGUAGGCCGGAACCAUUCGCAGACGUUCCACAAGGUGUUAUGAAUGCCAUGCGCAAUACUUCCACUCAAGAUUACCCAAAGCACGCCAUUACUUAUGUACGCAGAGGUGUUAAAUGCCAGUUAGAGCUAACAGGCCCGUUGUCGACGACACGAACAUGGACGACAGUGCGUGAAAUCGUGACGUAUGCUGUGACUGUCGAAAACGUUCCCACGCAUGAGAAAUUGCUCGGAACUAACAUUGCUUAUAUGACUGUGCUACACACGAGAGACUCUUAUUUUACGGUUCAGCUCUAUGUCCAUGGAUCCAAACUCGGUGUUCGAAUUCAGUUUCAUGGGAAGCAUUGUGGCUUUCCCUUUCGGGCCCCUUUAUUCAAGCUCGAUCUAAGCCAAAUGUUUCCAGCUGGUUCCUCUGGGCAUGGACGUAAUUGUAAGUGCUAUGCUCCCGCUGAGGCAACUUCUCUGCGCACAGACUCAGAAACACAAACUGACGAGACAAUGCAGAUAUGCCUACUAGAAAGAAACGUAAAGUUUGAAAUCAGGAUCUCGCCUGAAGGACACGCAUAGGCGCCGCACACGAAUACCUAGCGUUGCGCUUCACCUUUCGUGUGUUUCAUGUUUGUGCCUUUUAUUCCAAUGACGCUGGCUGUGAGAAAGGAUGUCAUAGCAUCACGUAAAGACGGAAACCUGCAAUUCGACAUUGUUGAUUGAAUACAUGCUACACUGCUCAACAUAAUUUCUGUUUUAAGUACGCUUGUGAUGACGAGUAAUGCUCCGAUUAAAUUUUGGGUCCCGAAUAGAACACGUGCUGUAU